GAUCGUGACACGGGGUGCCACAUGGCUGAGAACACACCCGUCGAACCUGUCCAGCUAGUACUGACGAAGGGAUGUCACAUGCACUGGGG
rfam:Actinomyces sp. oral taxon 175 str. F0384 Contig96, whole genome shotgun sequence.